rnacentral:tRNA from 1 species
GGGGAUGUGGCUCAGUGGUAGAGCGCUCGCUUUGCAUGUGAGAGGCCCCGGGUUCAAACCCCGGCAUCUCCA